rnacentral:lncRNA from 1 species
AAUUUAAGGCCUUUGAUGGAUCCUAAUCAUCUAAGAACAUUUUCUCUUUUUCAACCAAUUUUGAACUGACCCAAUCUCUAUCGAAACAAAUAUCUAGCCAAACUUCACAAACUCUUAUUCUUCUUUUUUUCUUUUUUUUUUCUUUUUUUUUGCAUUGACUUUAUUUUGUCCGUUUUCUUAGGCAAUCAAUGUUACCCAUGUAGCGAGCUUUAGGUCAGUGACUCCCAAACCAAACGGUCUUAGG